rnacentral:rRNA from 1 species
GGGGGAUAUUGCGCAAUGGGGGCAACCCUGACGCAGCAACGCCGCGUGAAGGAUGAAGGUUUUCGGAUUGUAAACUUCUUUUAUUAAGGACGAAACUUGACGGUACUUAAUGAAUAAGCUCCGGCUAACUACGUGCCAGCAGCCGCGGUAAUACGUAGGGAGCAAGCGUUGUCCGGAUUUACUGGGUGUAAAGGGUGCGUAGGCGGCUUUGCAAGUCAGAUGUGAAAUCUAUGGGCUCAACCCAUAAACUGCAUUUGAAACUGUAGAGCUUGAGUGAAGUAGAGGCAGGCGGAAUUCCCCGUGUAGCGGUGAAAUGCGUAGAGAUGGGGAGGAACACCAGUGGCGAAGGCGGCCUGCUGGGCUUUAACUGACGCUGAGGCACGAAAGCGUGGGUAGCAAACAGGAUUAGAUACCCUGGUAGUCCACGCUGUAAACGAUGAUUACUAGGUGUGGGGGGGUCUGACCCCUUCCGUGCCGGAGUUAACACAAUAAGUAAUCCACCUGGGGAGUACGGCCGCAAGGUUGAAACUCAAAGGAAUUGACGGGGGCCCGCACAAGCAGUGGAGUAUGUGGUUUAAUUCGAAGCAACGCGAAGAACCUUACCAGGUCUUGACAUCCAACUAACGAAGUAGAGAUACAUUAGGUGCCCUUCGGGGAAAGUUGAGACAGGUGGUGCAUGGUUGUCGUCAGCUCGUGUCGUGAGAUGUUGGGUUAAGUCCCGCAACGAGCGCAACCCUUGCUAUUAGUUGCUACGCAAGAGCACUCUAAUAGGACUGCCGUUGACAAAACGGAGGAAGGUGGGGACGACGUCAAAUCAUCAUGCCCCUUAUGACCUGGGCUACACACGUACUACAAUGGAUGUUAACAGAGGGAAGCAAGACAGCGAUGUGGAGCAAACCCCUAAAAACAUUCUCAGUUCAGAUUGCAGGCUGCAACCCGCCUGCAUGAAGAUGGAAUUGCUAGUAAUCGCGGAUCAGCAUGCCGCGGUGAAUACGUUCCCG